UACGAAGGGGGCUAGCGUUGUUCGGAAUCACUGGGCGUAAAGGGAGCGUAGGCGGCGCGGUAAGUCAGAUGUGAAAUCCCCGGGGCUCAACCCCGGAACUGCAUCCGAUACUGCCGUGCUAGAGGAUUGGAGAGGUAGCUGGAAUUCUUGGUGUAGCAGUGAAAUGCGUGGAGAUCAAGAGGAACACUCGUGGCGAAAGCGAGCUACUGGACAAUAUCUGACGCUGAGGCUCGAAGGCCAGGGUAGCGAAAGGG
rnacentral:rRNA from 1 species